GACGAACGCUGGCGGUGUGCUUAACACAUGCAAGUCGAACGGAAAGGCCCUGCUUGCAGGGUACUCGAGUGGCGAACGGGUGAGUAACACGUGGGUGAUCUGCCCUGCACUUCGGGAUAAGCCUGGGAAACUGGGUCUAAUACCGGAUAGGAGCCAUUUUUAGUGUGAUGGUUGGAAAGUUUUUUCGGUGUAGGAUGAGCUCGCGGCCUAUCAGCUUGUUGGUGGGGUAAUGGCCUACCAAGGCGGCGACGGGUAGCCGGCCUGAGAGGGUGGACGGCCACAUUGGGACUGAGAUACGGCCCAGACUCCUACGGGAGGCAGCAGUGGGGAAUAUUGCACAAUGGGCGCAAGCCUGAUGCAGCGACGCCGCGUGGGGGAUGACGGCCUUCGGGUUGUAAACUCCUUUCGCUAGGGACGAAGCUUUUUGUGACGGUACCUAGAGAAGAAGCACCGGCUAACUACGUG
rnacentral:rRNA from 1 species